rnacentral:lncRNA from 1 species
CCCGGCUUUGCUGCCACUUAAACUGGUUGAAAUACGCUCUCACUUAUUUCCGAGUUGCUGGAAUGACUGAAGAAAUAAUGUAAGAAAUAACAGUUAUCCAUAGCGGCUUUGAUCAUGGCCACAAUUUUCCUACAUAGUAAUCAUUUUUAUCUCUUCUUUUUAAUCAUCUGAUGAUCAAAUAAUUUAAAUAGAAGUUGAAUGAUUUACAUUCUGUGUUUUUCCUGCUAAAGUUCCCUUUCUGAUUACUCACAACUUUCAUCUCUCUCUUCAUUUCAAGGGAUUUCCUUUUUUCACAAGUGGCUUUUCCUG